UACGUAGGGGGCAAGCGUUAUCCGGAUUUACUGGGUGUAAAGGGAGCGUAGACGGCUGCUGCAAGUCUGAAGUGAAAACCCAGGGCUCAACCUUGGGACUGCUUUGGAAACUGUAGAGCUUGAGUACCGGAGGGGUAAGCGGAAUUCCUAGUGUAGCGGUGAAAUGCGUAGAUAUUAGGAGGAACACCAGUGGCGAAGGCGGCUUACUGGACGGUAACUGACGUUGAGGCUCGAAAGCGUGGGGAGCAAAC
rnacentral:rRNA from 1 species